rnacentral:lncRNA from 10 species
GGGCGCCUGUAAUCCCAGCUACUCGGGAGGCCGAGGCAGGAGAAUCGCUUGAACCCGGGAGGCGGAGGUUGCAGGUGAGCCGAGAUCGCACCACUGGCGACAGAGCGAGAGUACGUCUCAAGAAAGAAGAAAGGAAAGAAAGAAAGGAGGGAGGGAAGGAAGGAAAGAAAGAGAAAAAGACGAAUUCCUGGUUGUUUUCCACUGCAAUUCUGAUCCGGUGGUCUGGAACAGGGCCUGGGCUCUCUGAGAGCAGCCAGGGUCCCAGACCCUGACCGCGCUGGCCGCCUUUUCCAAGUGAAACCUCCGCAAAGACCAGGAGGAAAGGCUUAGUGGCCGCAGGGCCCGAUCACACUGAAGCACCAUGUGCCAGGAGGGUGCCCGUGACCAGGAAGAUCCCGGAGAUAUGGGGGGCACUGGGAGGGGCGCGGAGUGCAGCACGGGACCCCUGGUUGAAGAGGGGCGCCUCGCCUCUCCUUUCAUCCUUCAGUCGUUGUUUCUUUUUUGAGGCUUCCCCUCAUCUUGUCUGACUGACAGGAGCGUCCACACUUUGUCCUCGCCGCCGCCACCGUUCCUCAGGGCUGCAGCCUGGUCGGAGGACCAGGAAGUGUCCUGCUCAGACUGGCCAGGCACUAAAGUCUGCUUUUCCACCACGAUAGGCUUUGGGUUUGAAGAAGCUUUGUCCCAGCAACUCUGGGUGCGGAUGGGCCAAACAGGCUGCGGGUGUAUUGGGCUUCUGGCCCCGGUCAGCCACCCCAGUGUCCACAGCAGAUGGACGCCCAGAGCUGAGGGGACAGAGGGCUGCCAUCAAACUGCUGGGGCCACGUCUGUAAAUCAGAGCAAAGGCAAUCCCUGGGCAAGGAGUAGGGGCUGAAUCUGAUCCCUGAGCAAGGAGUAAGGGCUGAAUUUGAAAGAUCAGCCUCGGGACUGCUGAACUAAGAACAGUGUGGGGAGGAAGAUCAGGAGGGAGCAGAGAAGGACAGGCCUGGGAUCCCCCCACCCCCCAACAAACCCUGCUGGAAGCUCAAAGCGCUGCUUUAUUGAAGGCCAGACUGGUGGUGUGUGGGUGCCUUGCCCUGAUUAACAGCACUGGGGUCGACUGCAGGUAAUGAGUCAGUAAUUAACAUCUAUAAAAAGACUGUGUCCUAUGCAAAGGACACUGGCCUAAGAAUCCGGAACUCUGAGCUUGCCUCUUAAUAAUUGUGUGACCUUAGACAACCUUUUGUGGCAUCAGACUCCUCGCCUAUCGUGGAGAGAAGCUGGAUUAGAUCCGCUGUUCUUCAUCCUGGCUGCUCACUGCUCUUGGGAAGCUUCUAGAAAGUACUAAUGUCUGGGCCUUGCACCUGGACAUACUGAUUUCAUUGGUCUGAUUGUGUCCGGAAUUGGUGGGUUCUUGCUCUCACUGACUUCAAGACCGAAGCCGCAGACCCUCGCGAUUUCUAAAGAUUAUACGUCAACCAUCCUGGCCUGUUUCCCAUUCUCCAACCUGAUGCUUGAGAAGGCAUGCUUUUUUUUUUUUUUCCUGACUCAAGAGGAAAACAAAGAAAAAUUAAGAGCAGAACAGCUUUAAAAGACAUUCAUUCAUUCAUUCAUUCAGCAAGUAUCUGUUCAACCUCAUCUCUUGAUUUCUUUCAUUGUCUACCCCACUUCCAAUCCACUUCCAAGACACAUUUUCUCCGUCUUCAAAACAUACCCUGGCUCUCAAAACAUACCCCUUCUAACUGUUCCACUUCUAUCACCCAAGUGCUGUGCUUCUCA